GACGAACGCUGGCGGCGUGCCUAAUACAUGCAAGUCGAGCGGAGUUAUUCCUUCGGGGAUAACUUAGCGGCGGACGGGUGAGUAACACGUAGGCGACCUGCCUGUAAGAUCGGGAUAACUACCGGAAACGGUAGCUAAGACCGGAUAAUCAGCUGGAUCGCGUGAUUCGGCUGGGAAAAGCGGAGCAAUCUGCUGCUUACAGAUGGGCCUGCGGCGCAUUAGCUUGUUGGGGGGGUAACGGCUCACCAAGUCGACGAUGCGGAGCCGACCUGAGAGGGUGAACGGCCACACUGGGACUGAGACACGGCCCAGACUCCUACGGGAGGCAGCAGUAGGGAAUCUUCCGCAAUGGACGCAAGUCUGACGGAGCAACGCCGCGUGAGUGAGGAAGGUUUUCGGAUCGUAAAGCUCUGUUGUGAGGGAAGAACAGCAUCCGGAGGAAAUGCCGGAGGUUUGCCGGUACCUCACCAGAAAGCCCCGGCUAACUACGUGCCAGCAGCCGCCGUAAUAC
rnacentral:rRNA from 1 species